AUUUAUAUAGUAUAAUUAUUAUUUUUGACUUCCAAUCAAAAGAUUUAACUAAGUUAAUAUAAAUA
rnacentral:tRNA from 1 species